rnacentral:rRNA from 1 species
CACCUACGGGGGGCAGCAGUGAGGGAUAUUGGUCAAUGGGGGAAACCCUGAACCAGCAACGCCGCGUGAGGGAAGACGGUUUUCGGAUUGUAAACCUCUGUCCUCUGUGAAGAUAACGACGGUACCUGACUAAGAAGCCCCGGCUAACUACGUGCCAGCAGCCGCGGUAAUACGUAGGGGGCAAGCGUUAUCCGGAUUUACUGGGUGUAAAGGGAGCGCAGGCGGCGCGGUAAGUCUGAUGUGAAAGCCCGGGGCUCAACACCGGGACUGCAUUGGAAACUGUCGUGCUGGAGCGU